rnacentral:rRNA from 1 species
UACAGAGGGUGCGAGCGUUGUUCGGAAUUAUUGGGCGUAAAGCGCUUGUAGGCGGCCUGUUAAGUUCCGUGUGAAAUCCCCAGGCUUAACCUGGGAAGUGCGCGGAAAACUGGCGGGCUUGAGUGCUGGAGAGGGUCGCGGAAUUCCCGGUGUAGAGGUGAAAUUCGUAGAUAUCGGGAGGAACACCAGUGGCGAAGGCGGCGACCUGGACAGACACUGACGCUGAGACGCGAAAGCGUGGGGAGCAAACAGG